rnacentral:rRNA from 1 species
UCCAGACUCCUACGGGAGGCAGCAGUGGGGGAUAUUGGACAAUGGGGGGAACCCUGAUCCAGCGACGCCGCGUGAGUGAAGAAGUAUUUCGGUAUGUAAAGCUCUGUCAGCAGGGAAGAAAGCAAUGACGGUACCUGACCAAGAAGCCCCGGCUAACUACGUGCCAGCAGCCGCGGUAAUACGUAGGGGGCAAGCGUUAUCCGGAUUUACUGGGUGUAAAGGGAGCGUAGACGGCGAUGCAAGCCAGAUGUGAAAGCCCGGGGCUCAACCCCGGGACUGCAUUUGGAACUGUGUGGCUGGAGUGUCGGAGAGGCAGGCGGAAUUCCUAGUGUAGCGGUGAAAUGCGUAGAUAUUAGGAGGAACACCAGUGGCGAAGGCGGCCUGCUGGACGAUGACUGACGUUGAGGCUCGAAAGCGUGGGGAGCAAACAGGAUUAGAUACCCGAGUAGC